rnacentral:rRNA from 1 species
CGAGCUGGGUUUAGAACGUCGUGAGACAGUUCGGUCCCUAUCUGCCGUGGGCGCUGGAGAACUGAGGGGGGCUGCUCCUAGUACGAGAGGACCGGAGUGGACGCAUCACUGGUGUUCGGGUUGUCAUGCCAAUGGCACUGCCCGGUAGCUAAAUGCGGAAGAGAUAAGUGCUGAAAGCAUCUAAGCACGAAACUUGCCCCGAGAUGAGUUCUCCCUGACCCUUUAAGGGUCCUGAAGGAACGUUGAAGACGACGACGUUGAUAGGCCGGGUGUGUAAGCGCAGCGAUGCGUUGAGCUAACCGGUACUAAUGAACCGUGAGGCUUAACCUUACAACGCCGAAGCUGUU